UCGUCGUAGUAGUACGACGACAACGACGACGACGACUACGACGACGGCGACAACGUACUUCGUAGUCCGCUGGCACGACCAAGCCCAUCCUUCUUUUUCCAUCGGCUCCGAAACUCAUUUAUUAUAUAAAAAGAAGAGAAAAAGAAGAAUAGAAAUAAGAAGGUUGAUGCCUUAGAGGAACUAGACCGUCGAACUAAUCGUCCCGCGUCAGAAAUAGCCGAACCCCCAUCCUUCUGCCGCAUCCUUCCGAGAAAUCGUGUUAAUUUUCGAGGACCGUCGAUGCCGAUAAUUUCGAUGCUAAUGGUAACGACGGCAACAACCCAACUCUCUAGGGACAAGAACGAUGCCGAAGAGACAGACACGAGGGAAGGAUAGAAUAGGGGAGUGGCGGGAAGGGCGGACGCGGGAACGGGGGAUAGCAAGCCUAAAACCCGACGAGGUAUGCCGAAUACAAGAGGCCGAUAGUCGAGCGAGCUUCGUGAAAAUAACGUUGUAGAAAACGGGCUCAUUGUCCGUGUUAACUCAUUUACGUUCGGUACGCUUAAAUGAAGUUUCGUGCUGGAGCCAACUGAAUAAGGGGCCCUUGUGCAAGAGUAUCCAUCUACAAUAAACGUUGAUACGUAUAAACCGUGUCUCGUAUCGGAAUCGAAGAGGAACGAGAAAUAAAUAGGAGAGAGACAAGAAGAUCGUUCGCUAAAUAGAAAAAGGAGAAGGAAAGAAAGAAGAAGAGGAAGAAGAAAAAAAAAAAGAAAAUGAAAGAAAAGGGUGAGGGGAGGGGGGAAGAAAAGCUUUCGAUUUUUAUCGAAAAUAUCACGAUAUUCAAGAGAAGUUUUAACGGAGUGGCAGGUGAAGAACCAAAGAUAAGAACAACACGUGCAUCCGAUGAUAAAGCCGACUUGAAGAAACUGUAGAGAUUCAACGGAAAAGGAACGUAGGAAAACAUCUUGCGCCCAUUUUACCUACUUGGAAAUUCUCUAUCACGCUUUUCAACACGGAAACAUCUUUUCUCGAAUAAAUGAAUCAUAGGCGGCAUACGGUGUUUGUUGCCCGAGAGAGAGAGAGAGAGAGAGAGAGAGAGAGAGAGAGAGAGAGAGAGAGAGAAUCACAAAAGAUACGACUACGAGUUGUGUACUUUUUCUCAACCCCCCUCUUCAUCCUUCUGAUCCUCCUUCUCUUGAUCCUCCUCCACCUCUCCUCCUAUUUCUCCUUUUCCUGGGAUGUAAGCGCGAUAAACAAAAAAAAAACAAAAAAAAAUAAAAAUAAAAAGAAACUACUUCGUGCUUGUGCACUCGUGCCAUUCGUUCUUAUUUAUGGCUCUGAAAGUAUUUCUUUUCCUCUCUCCCCUUAUCUCUCUCUCUCUCUCUCUCUUUCUCUCUGUAUCUCUAUUUUUUUUUAUUUCUCUGCAUCUCUUCGAACAAGGGAAGAUAAGAAACGUGAUCAUUGAUCGGCUCAUCGGAUCAAAUACGAAAAAGUAUCUUUAUCAAUCGAGAAAUUAUUCAUAAAAUGAC